GACGAACGCUGGCGGCGUGCUUAACACAUGCAAGUCGAACGGAAAGGCCCUGCUUUUGUGGGGUGCUCGAGUGGCGAACGGGUGAGUAACACGUGAGUAACCUGCCCUUGACUUUGGGAUAACUUCAGGAAACUGGGGCUAAUACCGGAUAGGAGCUCCUGCUGCAUGGUGGGGGUUGGAAAGUUUCGGCGGUUGGGGAUGGACUCGCGGCUUAUCAGCUUGUUGGUGGGGUAGUGGCUUACCAAGGCUUUGACGGGUAGCCGGCCUGAGAGGGUGACCGGCAACAUUGGGACUGAGAUACGGCCCAGACUACUACGGGAGGCAGCAGUGGGGAAUAUUGCACAAUGGGCGGAAGCCUGAUGCAGCAACGCCGCGUGCGGGAUGACGGCCUUCGGGUUGUAAACCGCUUUCGCCUGUGACGAAGCGUGAGUGACGGUAAUGGGUAAAGAAGCACCGGCUAACUACGU
rnacentral:rRNA from 1 species